rnacentral:tRNA from 2 species
GCGUUCUUAGUUUAAAGGAUAAAACAUAAGUCUUCGAAACUUAUAAUACUAGUUCAAUUCUAGUAGAACGCUUA